UUUCCGUAGGUGAACCUGCGGAAGGAUCAUUACAGAGAACUUGCCCUUCGGGGUAGAUCUCCCACCCUUUGUAUACCUUUCUGGUGUUGCUUUGGCAGGCCCGUCCCUUCGGGGACCGCUGGCUUCGGCUGGCCUGUGCCUGCCAGAGGACUUUAAACUCUUUGUUUUUUGUCGUCUGAGUACUUAUAUAAUAAGUUAAAACUUUCAACAACGGAUCUCUUGGUUCUGGCAUCGAUGAAGAACGCAGC
rnacentral:misc_RNA from 1 species